rnacentral:lncRNA from 1 species
AUUACAUGUAGUAUUGUAUGUAGUACAUACAUGUAGUACUACAUAUAUGCAGUAUUGUAUGUUGUACAUAGUUCUGGGUAUAUAUGUACUUAUACAUAUAUUUAAUUCUUCCGUGUGUGUGUAAAAGUAUUUGGGGAGCCUUUAACCUCCCUGCAAGCACAUAUCUGAUCGUUUUAAUGCAACGUCAUAAAGUCCUAAUCGAAACCACUUUGACGACAGCUAUGUCUUUAUAACAAAUACCUGCCGUCCAUUUCGGCUCCAGGGAAAGGUGGUAACUCUGUGUGAGGGACAGCAGGUCCCCUCUGGAAGGUGGUUUUCCAAAUACCCAUUCCCUGGGGACAGAGGAGCCAACGUUCUGGACCAGACGACAGCGGCCUCCUGUCUUUGCUUGUGUUGAGGUGGUGGUUUUGGUUUUGAGUGAGGCUGUUUAGAGGCUCCGAUGGUCCCUAAACUGAUGUCAUGAAUUAAAAAUGAAUUUGGGGGGUGAGGCAUAUGCUCGGCUGGGGCGUUGGGAGAGCAGCGGAGGCCUUUCACCCGCGGUUCUGGGCUCCAGACGCCGACUGACCGGCUGGCCUCGGCGCCGGUGGCGGGCGCGCAGCGGCGCCCUGGGCUCACGCAGGUCGGUCGCUGCUCCAGCUCGCUGCCGCCCUGCCCUGCGCUAGGGAAAGCUGUCGGUGGCUUGGAGCACUUGCAGAUCAGGCGGUCUCCACUACAGUCCGCUUCUAAUAUCGAAUAAGACCUAAAAGAAGCAGGCAAUCGGGAGCUCCCGCAGGAGGACAGAAACCAGGUGUUCGCUUGGCAAGAAACUCCUGAUUCAGAAACCCUUCCAGCAAGGAGAUAAGUUUUUCUCAGCAGCAAAUGACUACAAACACAUCUGCAUUGACAAGUCGAAACUUAUAUCCUUCUAUGGUCUUUCUGCUCUUUUGAAAAUGUUAAUAAAAACUUAAUGUGGAAAAAAAACAACUUUUUCCAAAUAUGUGUACCAACGAGCCCGAGGCAACUCAUACUUUCUUAUAAAAUAAAGUAGGUCACUCACAUCAAUCAUGUUGUCUUAGCACAUUUUUUCCAAAUUAGGAAUUUUCAAUCCAUCAUACCACAUUAUGGCAUCCCUUUUCCAAACAUUUCCUUUUAAUAUGCUCUUUAACAUGAUAAGCAAAUCUAAUAGAAUACAUUAGUGUCACUUUCCAGUGAUGGAGUGUUUCCUCCUGUUGCAAUCCACGAUGAGUUCAGGGAAACAUUUUCUACUUCACUCUGUAACAGCCGUCGCUUGUUGAAAAUAUGACAAUGGCCUCACAGCUGCCAAGGCCACACUUGAGUGUUAGCCUGACAAAGAUCACGGGACCCCUCCCUCACCUCUCCAUGUGUCAUAUAUGUAGAAAUCCCAAAAGAUGUGUGUGUCCCAAAGCCCAAUCGUAAAUCCACAUCCCGUACGUGAGGCGAGUGUUCUAGCCUGCCGAUUCAGUAGGGUUACAUGCGCGCACACACUCUCCUGUGUAGAUCGAAAGCUUGUACUGGGCUUCAUUUGAAAACCACAUUGCUCACAGAACAUUUCCAAACCUCCUGGAUCAUGCAGAAAGGGAGGAUCCUUGGCUUAAUAUGUGUGAGAUUCUCCAAAACCGGUUACUAUCUUUGCGCAAGUGAAUUUGGACCUGUGAGAGAGGAGUGCUCUGUUUACAACCCGCUUGAGAUAAAUAUAUUUGCAUGUUCAUAUAUUUGACAACAUUUACCUGGCAAAAACAGGGUAUCUGUUUCCACUCGGAUCUCUAGCUCUCGGAUUCAUGUGUUCGGUAUUAGCGCUCAAGUUUCUUUAGGGAUUUUUUAUUUGGACAGAGUUUUGGAAUAGAACAUUUGGGAAGCUGGGAGUGGGAGAGGUUUGUAGAGCGCCCAGGAAUUCAGCUGUUUCAGGCUUUUGGCCACCCAACAGGAAAACAUCUCAAUGGAAAAGGGAAAGUUCAGUUUGUUUUCUGGACCUUUCAUCUGGACACGCGGGGUCCUGUAGACACUAGUUUAGAUUGCCCAUUCCGUAAGUCACAUCACUUCUUCCAAAUGUCUGGGGAAAGAGAAAGGUGAAGGUAUGGACUCUGAUUAGCCAUAGCUUCCGGACCCUGCCCCAUUCUGGCCCAGAGCUAAUGGCUUGAGGCUGUGUGUGCCCAGGAGAUGUCAUUAACUCCUUUAUCAUAAAAAUCACUGUGCUGGAGGCAGCGGGGGACACAGACAUGAGGCAUAGCUCGUACCCUUAAGGAGCUGGAAAUCAAGCUUGAUAUCAAGUAGAACAUGAUGAGGAAAAGAAAAAAAUACCCAGGGAGUUCAGAGGAGAGAGAGAUCACUGCCAGGUAGGGGUGGAUGUAAUAAAAGAUUAAGAAGAAGAUGAUCUUGGAACCAGGCUCUAAUGGUGAGCAGGCUUUGGAUCUGCACAGAUGGUAAAAGGGCGUUCUAGGUGGAGGGCACAGCGAGAGUAAA